UACGGAGGAUCCAAGCGUUAUCCGGAUUUAUUGGGUUUAAAGGGUGCGUAGGCGGCCUAUUAAGUCAGGGGUGAAAGACGGUAGCUUAACUAUCGCAGUGCCUUUGAUACUGAUGGGCUUGAAUGAACUAGAGGUAGGCGGAAUGUGACAAGUAGCGGUGAAAUGCAUAGAUAUGUCACAGAACACCAAUUGCGAAGGCAGCUUACUAUGGUUUUAUUGACGCUGAGGCACGAAAGCGUGGGGAUCAAGCAGG
rnacentral:rRNA from 1 species